UGAAAACCAUUAUCAAUUCCAUCCUAUUCCACGAGGAAUGAGGAAGAUGUAGCUGAUGCGCUGUCUUGGGUAAGUUCCUUCUUAAAUUCAUACUCAUGUUAAAUUGUUACUCAUUGUUCUUGUUGUUUUUGUGGUACUGCCGGUAUCUCACCUUUGGUUUCAGGUAAGAAACUAAUCUCUUUUAGUGUGCGUAUACAAUCUGACAUAUAUGGAAGUGUAUUACAUACAAUGUUAUUACUACCAUAACCGAUAGUGAUUUAGUAGUAUAGUUGUUCAACCAGUACUAACAUAUAUUGAGUUUCAUCCCUAAAUAGUCUCCUCAAGAGUCAAACUCUAUUUCCUCCUCAUACUCUCAAACAACAACCAACAUUGACCUUGACUCAUCUUUCCAUAAUAUUAGUCUUGAUUCUUCUUCUUCUCACCUAUUGCUCUGAUUUGCACAAAUUUGGUCGUUUCACUUGUUUUCAUCAAAACCGGUCAGCUUCUCACUGUUCUUGCCAUUACGAGUGCAUGUCUGGUCUAACUAUCAUCCCAUACCGGAAUGAAGUUUGAUUCGUCAGUUUUCUUGAUCGAUCGGCCAGUCCGCUACGAUUUUUGUAACAUUUAUUACAUAUAUGCUUAGAUAUCAACAAUACCCCUAUAGAUUAUGCUCUCAUCUAUUGGAUGGGGAUACUCUGGAAACUAGAGAAAUACAAAUAAUUGGUGAAACCUCUGCAAUGGAUACUCUGGAAACUUCUUGAAAAUAUUCUUCAUCUCUCUUGGUUCUUCUCUCUUUACCUUUGUAAGUUUUUUUUAAAACUCAAACGGUGAAGUCAAAAGUUGAAUUAAGGUGUUUCUAUAGCUUUCAAUUCUUGUCAAUUGUGUCAUUCAUUUUUUCAAAAAGGUGAGUCUUCUGAUUUUACCUUUAUCUAUUUUUUGUGGCUACUUUCUUUGUUGCUCUCUCGUUUUGAGAGUCAAACAAAGGACUGUGAGGGGAAAGUAUGUGGGGGGAAAGUAUCUGCUUGCGAAGUGAACACAUAAACUAUAGACGUUGUCAUUUUAUCCUACAUAUAAUAAAGAGUAGAUAUAGUCAUGAUAACCUACAUGUUUAAUGAACUAUUCAUGUGGAACUCUAGUAAAGGUUUAUUUGAAAAUAAAAUGUAUGCCAUAAACAUAUGAGGAAAAAAGUGCAUUGAAAUAUAAAAUUAGGAAAGGACCCACAUCACUUAAGCAUGUGUACCGAAAGGGAAAUAGGUGGCCCACAUAAAACUGCAAUUCAAUGCAGAAAAAUAUGUUUGUGAAUUUGAUUCGUAUGUUAUUUUACAAACUCAAAUUCGUACUAUUUAGCUUUUUCCUAAUUUUAUACUUACACACAUGCUUUUUUCUUCUCACUUAACACUUUGGGAAAAAACGAUGUUAUGUUUAUGGUAUACAUUUGAUAUUGAAAUAAACCUUUACCAUCGUGAUAUGGAUCACAUCUCCACGUGAAUUGUUCAUUAGAUACGUAGGUUACCUUGACAAGGUGUAGUUUUCAUUACACAUAGGGUUACGAUGACAAUGUGCAUUUUGUAUGUUCAUUUCACAAUAAAAAACUUUUCCCUCAAGGCCAUUUUAUUAGCUCUCAAAAUCAGAGUGACAAAGAAAUGGGACAUAACAAAAGAGAAAAAUAAAAUAAAAUCAGAUGACACAAC
rnacentral:lncRNA from 1 species